rnacentral:rRNA from 1 species
GAUGAACGCUGGCGGCGUGCUUAACACAUGCAAGUCGAACGGUGAAGGCGGAGCUUGCUCUGCUGGAUCAGUGGCGAACGGGUGAGUAACACGUGAGCAAUCUGCCCCUGACUCUGGGAUAAGCGCUGGAAACGGCGUCUAAUACUGGAUACGAGCUGCGAAGGCAUCUUCAGCAGCUGGGAAGAAUUUCGGUCAGGGAUGAGCUCGCGGCCUAUCAGCUUGUUGGUGAGGUAAUGGCUCACCAAGGCGUCGACGGGUAGCCGGCCUGAGAGGGUGAACGGCCACAAUGGGACUGAGACACGGCCCAGACUCCUACGGGAGGCAGCAGUGGGGAAUAUUGCACAAUGGGCGAAAGCCUGAUGCAGAAACGCCGCGUGAGGGAAGACGGCCUUCGGGUUGUAAACCUCUUUUAGCAGGGAAGAAGAGAAAGUGACGGUACCUGCAGAAAAAGCGCCGGCUAACUACGUG